UUUAUUUUUUAACACUAAAACACACACAUAUCGCAAGCUAAUGAUCGGGGUGCUACGUAAGUGGUUGAUUUAUUAGGAUAUGUGGAGGCUAAAC
rnacentral:sRNA from 21 species